rnacentral:piRNA from 1 species
GGACUUUUGACUCGUUAACGGGU